UACAGAGGUCUCGAGCGUUAGGCGGAAUCACUGGGCUUAAAGCGCGUGUAGGCGGCUCGGUAAGUCUGCUGUGAAAGUCCAAGGCUCAACCUUGGAAAGCCGGUGGAUACUGUCGAGCUCGAGUCCGGAAGAGGCGAGUGGAAUUCCUGGUGUAGCGGUGAAAUGCGCAGAUAUCAGGAGGAACACCAAUGGCGAAGGCAGCUCGCUGGGACGGUACUGACGCUGAGACGCGAAAGCGUGGGGAGCAAACAGG
rnacentral:rRNA from 1 species